GCUACACUGAGAAUUUCUAAGUGCUAAUUUGCAAGAAAACAAAUGUCACACUAGGAGGAUGAGAGUGACCAGGGAUAAGUGGAAACAGCUGAAGGAAGUCAGAAAGACAAUUUAUAGCCUAUUCCCCGUGGACAUUCCUGACACAUGAUCACAGUGAAGCUAAAUGUGAAGUCAGCACUGAUGAUCCUGAUUGGCAGUUGACAGUAAAAAGAGUAGCUGAAGAACAACGGCACACUUACACUGGUCCCAGGGAAUAUACCCACAAGAACUAAUCUCGCAAAACUUAUAGAGGAAAAAAAUGGAGAAAAUAGUUGCUUUUGUAUCGGAGUUGAAAAGGAUUUAAUGGUUGCAGGCCAAUUUUCCAAAAAUCGCCCUAUUCUUUUCUCCGAUGCACGGAGCAAAUGAAAUGACUCAUACACAAUUUGAGAUUGAAUCCCCUUCAAAAUGAGGGAAAAGCUUGGUGCACAAUUAGUUUUCCAAUUCUUUAAAAUAUAAUAUCUGACUAUCAA